UAUUAAAGAAGCAUGCUGCAUGUAUACAGAUAAUGAAAACACAAAUACAUAUAUAGGCGUAUUAUCGAUGUUCAUAUUCCACCUGAAAGUGUGAAUUUGCUCAUUAAGAAGGUGUCCAACAAUUUUUUGUUGUAGUUAUUUUUUAUUAGGUGACGCUCUCAUUUGUGGUGGUUUUAAUGAAGUUGCGGCAUAUUGUAUUUCUACUCUCUAUCUCCGCUUGUGAUCGCUGCCCGUUUCGUGGGGUAUGACGUGAGUGCUACAGGUACAAAUUAAUAUGGAGUUCGUUCUAGAAAAUCGAUCAAAUUGACAAGCACAACCGCGUUUACUGUCCAAUGAGACGAUAUAUACAUACACGUAUGCAGUGUGUACAUAUCUACGGUAGCGGUCCAUACUACUCGUAUGUAUGUAUGUAUGUAGUUACUUAAACGCAUAGUAUGUUGCCAACGACGCUGUUGUUCCAUCUGUGCGAGUAUACUAAAAAUCUCUUUAAUUUUGAGUGGAGAUUAUUGGGGCGUUUAUAUUGUCCGCCAAUAUUAUUAUAUCAUGCUUUUUACGCGCUGCUCCGUUCCUUGGACUCAGCUGUUGUACCAGUACGUUGAACGAAUGUUUUUUUUGUUUUGAUUUAAGUUGAAUUCCGCUGUCCACUGAUUGAUCUACUGCAGGCUGUGUUGUUGGUAGUGCUGUUGGUGCAGCCGUUAGUUGGUGAUUGCUAUGCCAGUCUGAAGUUCGAUGAAAAUUGUUAAUAUUGUCUGAUGAUAGUGAGUUUGGAUCGAUUUGUUUCGAAUUGAGUUUUAUUGCCACCGAUGCACAUUUACCCUUUGAGGUUUGCGACCUUGUUUGCCGGCAUUGACUUCUACUUGUUGUAGGUAUCCAUUGUGUCGAGGUCUACCGAAACAACCGACAAAGAAACCCAAAAUUUCACCACUCAUACAUAUUUAGGAUACUGCUUUUGUGAGUACAGUGCCGUGCGGUAAAGUACAGUCAACAUUUACAAUAGAGAAAGCCAAAGUAUUUUUGUUUUAAAAAUUAUAUUAAUGGUGAUAUUGGAAAUAAGGUUCUCUCUCGAGGAACUAAAAUUGAUGUAUAUUUUUUCUGAGGAAGACUCAUAGAGCUUUCGCCUUGAUAACGGUAAAUAUUAUAUGAAAAAAGUCUUUUGGUGCAUUGAUUGGGAGAAAGGGAAUGAAAACAAAUCAUAUGUAUUAGGACUAAGACGGGUACUUGAGUCGCAGUUCAAAACAAGUUGUGGGUGUAUUUAUGUAUUCGUCUCCAUUUUUUCAACCAGAGUGAUGGCUUAAGUCUUCACUUAUGUAUCAUAUUCAUUUGUAGUUAGCAGGUAGCCUAUGUACUUUGUAGAAUUCACAUGCAUACAAACUUAAUAAAGCAUUUGUAUUCUUAUAAUCGCGUCGUUGUCCAGAUGGUGUAUUACCACUCUCUACACAUUGCCUUCGUACAUAUGUAUGUAUAUAAGUAUUACUGAGUCCGUAGAUAUGCAUUAUAAGCACUUGUAAAUGCGCUUUAUGAUUUGCGCUGAAUUACAUAUUCCAAGCAGGUAUUUGUACUUUUGCACUUAACGUAUGGCUGUGCAAGUGAGCCUGCGCAUGCGUACUGCAACACAAACGCACACAUUCUGACAAAUUCACAACAUAUAAUAGUGUGUCAAAGGGGCUGCUUACUGUAAGUGUGUGUUUGCAAUUUUGUGCGGCCCUUGCUGCAAUGGAUUCGCUUCUAUGAGCUGCCGCAGAAAUUAGCCUACAGCCGGACGGUAGCACUGCAAACGCGGUGUAAUCCGUCAGUGAUUGUGGCGGUGAGAAAUGAAACGGAGUGAAGUUACUACUGAUGGCUUGAUGUGGUUGUUAGACCCGUUGCCGCUUAAACUUAAUCAAGAUUGUGUAAAUUUUAGAGUUUGACUUGUCGACACAAACUAUGUUACGAUGUUAUUUCUCUUUGACUUCGCCGACCAUGAGGAUGUGUCCAUCUGGGUUUGACGCAGCGCCUUGUAAUGAGUUUUCGACUGCAGGCUGUGUGAACAUCUUCGACAUCAUCAAAUAAUCAUCAAAAUUAUAUAGAAGAAUAACCAAAACAUUGAAAAGAGCAACAAUUGCAACAAUAACAAUAAUAACAACGUAACGAGAACUUCAUCAGCGUUCCAUCGCGGCUGGCGGCAAGGCAUUGGAGUGAGGGUGCAAUGUUUUGAAUUUGAUUGGAUGCAUGGUCGCUGUGCAGUGGCAGAAUCUUCCAAUUUGCAUAACUUAAUUGAAUCUGCGGCAACGCCAGUUGACGAGUCCUCCCUACGCAGACACUCGAACUUUAUAAAAUGGCGUAACUGCGUCUGCAGGUGCGAUGUGCUCUGGGCAGAGAUUUGGGUGAUUUAAAUGCAUUUGAAUUCAAUGAGUUUGCCUGAUAAAAGUAUCACAGCGAUGGUGUUGCAAUAAUGCAAACCUGUUAAUAUAUUUGUAGAAAUUAAUGGCGGCGUGUACUGCAGCCACCCUUUUUACGCGCAUCCAAGUAAGGCUGCUGGUCAAGCUGGUGCACUCAAUUUAUGCCAUAACAUACCAAUGUGCAUAUACGCGCACGAAUAACCAAGCCAAUGGCGGUGAAUUUUAUCCAUUUUAUUGUUCAAGUAAUAUGUCGGUUAUAGGAGGUAAAGCGCACAAUGCAGCCGUGGAACGAAUUAGGAGCUAUUUUACUGAACCGCUGCACUUACUCAACUGCGAUAACACUAGCAGCGGCAACGGCAACGGCAACAGCAACAACUGCUAAAAAAACCAAUAAGAAAGAAGAAUCAGCUAAGAAGUUCGCAACCCAUUUGCUACUCACAUAACUGGUCAAAUCGACAGUGAAUGUAGAUGGCUGAUUGUGUGAAGUGAAUCGCAUUCAAGGGGUGUGCACUCAGCACUUCAAAGCCAGCGUUGACUUUUGCCUUUCGCCCGAUUUGCAGCGCCUGCUCUGCAGUUUCUGCCAAGCUGCUUCGCUUUGUUUUCGAGCGCCGCAAUUCUCAUCACUUCCAACUCAAAGCAAUUGCCUCAGCAUGCCGCUAUCAUCAUCAUUAUUGCGAGCAUCUUCAUCAUAAUUUCUUGCAUUUUAUAUCACUUUUGGAUGAGUUUUAUUUUAUUUUAUUUUUUAAUUUUGCUUUUCUGUCUUUUGCUUUCUGCUUAUGCGAUCUGCAAUUUCGCCGCAUUUAUUUCUUUCGUUUGCAUAGCCGAGAACAUCGUUUUGCUGCCUUUGUUGUUGGCGUUUUAUUAGUACUCGGUCACUCACCAAUCACGUUCGAAAAUAAAUUGUGGAAAUUGUGAUUCGCAUUUUAUAUGGAAUGGUGUAUUUGCUUGCACAUACAACUGUCCAUACACACUUUUGACGUUGUAAUACUUGUUUGUGUGGGUGUGUACAACUACUCAAAUUAGUCUUUUCAUCAAAGUGCCGAAGAUGGAAUCGUCGCCAGUUGGCGAGAUGACCAAGGCGUCUGCUUGGGCUAUGUUGGAAAAUCGGUGGAGUUGCAUUGCAAUUGCACAUCACAUCUAUACAUACAGGUGUUUGUUUCUUUUCGGAUUUUAAAAAGUGAUAAUAACAACAACAAAUAAUGACAAAUAUUACACUAUAAUAAAAUAGAGGUAUUCGAAAGAACACCUAAAUGAGGCAUAUCGAAAUAAAAACUUAAAAUACAUUUUUACUGUUAUUCGAUUUCUGAGUUUAACCGAUUGUGAAGUCCUAUCAGUGUGCCGUAAGUGAAACACUCACCAAGUGGCUAUAAUCGACGAUGAAGGAUAAAGCGUGAAGGGGAGACGAUAUACAACUUGAAGUCGCGAAUUUCCGCCGAAUAUGAACCAUAAGACAUUGGCAGCAUACACAUAUAUUUUUUUAACAUAUAAUGCCUCUAUAUUUGUUUUUUGCCUUUUACACUUUUCGCUUUGAAGUGAGCACUCGUAUUCUUCCUUUUCAAAUGUAAAGCCACGAUGUAGUGAAUGGUUGGCAAUGGACGGCGGACGGCGGUGGUCAGAGGGCGAUAGUAAAUUCGAUUUGCAGCAACAUUCGUCGAGGUAAUAACUCAGGUGAUUAUAGUAAUUAUGCGUUCUGACGCGAUGCAAGUACGGAUAACGCUAUUUCGAUAUAAUUGAAAAAUCCUGAUAGACUUUUAUUAUGUACCGCCGAGUAUGAAUCGACGGAUGGAUGGAUGUUGGGGAUGUGUUUGGUGUUUGAUGUUUGGUGCAAGUGCUGAUCGUUGGAUUCUCUUUCAAUUGCACCGAUGAGUUAAAGCUUUGUGUGCGCGGUCUAGCUGCUGACCAUGUUAAAAUAUAAUAAAUUGUUGAAGUAAUAACGAUAAAGUGCUCACUGAGAUAGAUUUACAACAACGAUCCAAUCAACAGCUGAUUCGUUUGCCUGUCCUCGUUCGGUUAAUUCUCAAGCUAGAUCUAACCUAUUACCGUAUUCGAAUUCAUACUAGGACUUUCCUCGUGUACCACCAUAUAAAGAGAUGUUAUGAAUUUUUCCGAACAUUUAAAUCCCGAAUUACUGUAUUUUGUAUUUAUUAUUUGUUUAAUUAUUCAUUAGUGUUGACUUAAAUAUAUGUCUCGAUAGAUUUAUUAUAGUUAAUAUGAAUACUAAUAUUGUGACAUAUAUAGUCAAAUUGUUACAUUUUUUCACACAUUGCAACGUCAAACAGACAUGUAUGAGCGUUAACGCCAGCUUGACUAAACAUAUAGAUAUCUUGAUAAAACUUGCGAUACAUUUUGUUAGUUGGGUCUUUGAAUGAGGGCGUAAAAUAGCCUAAUUACGGUAAUAAUCGUGCACAUCUUCCAUUUGAUGGCUUUCUUGAAAACUGCUUAAAAUUCGACAAACCUCCUACCGGAAGAGCCAGACUCGUUAAUUUUUUUAUGAUGGAUAUAAUUGUAUACAAUUGGUAUAGCUGACUUUAUAUCAAACACACUUUACUAAUUUUAAUACUUUACUGGUUUUAACCGAAAUAAUCCCAUGACUAUUUCAUUUAGCACAGUAGCGGAAAUGGUAUAAUAAUUUAGCCCACUUCCCAAAUAGGUUUUUUUUUCAAAUAUACUAUAUAAAUAUAUGUGUAUAUACAAACAAUACUUAGUAAAUGGCAAACUUUGCUCUACACACAACUAUGCUUCAAAAAGAGUCUACAUAUAUAUGCCCACCAAGUCCCCAAGCACAGAAAUGAAGAUAUCUGCACUUCCCGUUGACUUUAUGUCAAUGUCAUAUAGUAAAUCACUUAAUACAUGAAGAAAGAAUAUUCAUGAAACUAUGUAACAAAAUGGAAUAAUAUCGCCCCAAAAAUUCCUCUUUACACUCCAGUAUAUCAAUAAGAAUAUUAAUAUAAUUAAAUGAACAAUUGUUCUGACUACUUGAUUUGAAGCGAAGAAUGUGUGAAAUCAGUCCCCAACUUCUGCCGGCCGCCAUUUUUCUAGUAUAUAUGAAUUUCAAUAUCAUUAAACAAGAAUGUUGUACUUAGCAUAAUAUGAUUCUCGGAAAGAAUUUGUACCAGAUACGUUGUAUGUUAAAUCUAAAUUAUAAAUUGCGAUAGUGUAUAAUGUGAGAUUGGAAUAUUUAACAAAUGACUAAAAGUAUUUUCUAUAUAAACUGGAAACAAAAAAAUGUAUUUCGGUUGCCUUAGUGAUUGUUCUACUGAAUCAAAUCAUCGCAAGAUUGUGUCAACUCAUUUUAAAUUAAUUAUAUAUAAAAAAUUUGAUGGAA